rnacentral:lncRNA from 1 species
GGAUUUCAAUUCAUGGAAUUUCUGGAAGUUGCCUUCCUUCGAAUAAAUAUUCUAGGAUUUUUUGGCAUUCAUUGCUCAAUCAUCUUUGUCUGGUGCGGAUGGAAGCAGGCUGUGUUGUUCCUUGUAGAACUAUAUAGGUAAAUUUGAUUUCUACUUCACACAAUAUGUCUAGACUCCAGCAUAGGUUUUUAAUGGUUUUUCAACUUGUUUCCUUUGAUUAUUCAGAUUUCAGAAGUUUUGUUAGGACUUUCUUAGAAUGAUCUGUUUCAUAUUCAGCUACUUUAACUUCUCUUCCGUUUAGGAUUUUUGUAAGAAGGAAAGAUGAUUGUAUCUAGACUUAGGUGGUUUGAGUGUAUGUAGUCAAUGACAG